rnacentral:rRNA from 1 species
UUUCAACAACGGAUCUCUUGGCUCUCGCAUCGAUGAAGAACGCAGCGAAAUGCGAUAAGUAAUGUGAAUUGCAGAAUUCAGUGAAUCAUCGAAUCUUUGAACGCACCUUGCGCUCCUUGGUAUUCCUCGGAGCAUGCCUGUUUGAGUAUCAUGAAAUUCUCAAAAUAUAUCUUUUGCACACGCGAUUGAUUUUAUUUUGGACUUGGAGGUCUUGCAGAUUCACGUCUGCUCCUCUUAAAUUUAUUAGCUGGAUCACUGUGAACUCGGUUCCACUCGGCGUGAUAAGUAUCACUCGCUGAGGACACUGUAAAAAGGUGGCCGGGAUUGCUGUAGAACCGCUUCAAAUAGUCUAUUAGAUUAGACAAAUAUAUUUAUGAUCUGAUCUCAAAUCAGGUAGGACUACCCGCUGAACUUAA